rnacentral:tRNA from 1 species
GGGUAGGUGGUGGAGUGGUCUAUCACAAGAGACUGUAAAUCUCUCGCCUUCGGGCUUCGGGGGUUCGAAUCCCUCCCUACCCA